rnacentral:rRNA from 1 species
AUUGAACGCUGGCGGCAGGCUUAACACAUGCAAGUCGAGCGAGCGGCGGACGGGUGAGUAAUGUCUGGGAAACUGCCUGAUGGAGGGGGAUCACUACUGGAAACGGUAGCUAAUACCGCCUACCAUCAGCUGUCCCCAUUUGGGAUUAGCUAGUAGGUGGGGUAAUGGCUCACCUAGGCGACGAUCCCUAGCUGGUCUGAGAGGAUGACCAGCCACAGUGGAACUGAGACACGGUCCAGACUCCGACGGGAGGCAGCAGGGGGGAAUAUUGCACAAUGGGCGCAAGCCUGAUGCAGCCAUGCCGAGUGUGUGAAGAAGGCCUUCGGGUUGUAAAGCACUUUCAGCGAGGAGGCGUUACUCGCAGAAGAAGCACCGGCUAACUACGUGCCAGCAGCCGCGGUAAUUC